rnacentral:misc_RNA from 2 species
ACACCUCAACUCCUCAUGGCUUGCCAUGAUGAGCUUGGACUUGGGGGUCUUGCUGGCCUGUGGUCAGCUCCUCUCAAAUGAAUCAGCUUGCCAGUGAUUGGUGGCACCACAGGUGUGAUAAACAUCUACGCUUGUGGUUCCCCACCAUGUAACCUUUAGCGAUAGAGGUUCGCUGGAGCUCACAAAUGUCUUUCCUCAGUGAAGACAGCUCUUUGAUU